UGAUCAGAUCUGCGAGCAGACCAGCUUUACAAAACCAAACUGUAAGCCUCUCAAGAGCAAGGGCCAAUGCAUCGUGCAUCACUGUUUCCGCAUAUGCCACCUCAUCUGCUUUCCAAGCAGCAGGAAGACUGAAGAGCAACCAAAACUUUCCAGGAAGCCCCACCCAGUGACUUCUGCUUCUGUCUAUCUGGAUGCUCCUCUCUGUAAGGGCAAUGGGAAAUGUAGUUUUUCAUCGGCACACACUGCUCCAAUUUUGGAAGGAGAGAAUCACAGUGGAUUCUCUGGCAGAGAUGCCUAAACAAUCCCCAACACCCAUGAUUUCCUUCUUCUUUUAGUAACAG